AACGUAGGAGACAAACGUUAUCCGGAGUUACUGGGCGUAAAGGGCGUGUAGGUGGUUGUGUAAGUUCGGCGUGAAAUCUCUCGGCUUAACCGGGAGUGGUCGUCGGAUACUGCACGACUAGAGGACGGUAGAGGCGUGUGGAAUUCCGGGUGUAGUGGUGAAAUGCGUAGAGAUCCGGAGGAACACCAGUGGCGAAGGCGACACGCUGGGCCGUACCUGACACUGAGGCGCGAUAGCAUGGGGAGCAAACGGG
rnacentral:rRNA from 1 species